GGGGGUGAACGGUUUCGACUCCGUUCGUCGAGACAGGAGAAGCGGGCCGAGGACCGCAUUGCUGACCUCGUAAAAAAAGCGAUGCACAAAAAAUAAGCGCCGACAACAGUCGCGCCGACUUCGCUCUCGCUGCCUAAGCAGCCCGAGCAAGUCUGUCAGCCCGGGUCCGUCACCGGCCCGGUCGCUGGCAUCAGCUAGGUGACUCACCGUCAGUCGCGGUCGCGGCGCCGGACGGGACAACAAACAGCGACUGGGCUCGUCGGACCGGCUUGUGUGCGUGACCGGUCGAGCCGAGGCUGACACAGCACACUGCGCCCGGAGAAGUCCUGUUGAAGCGACGGAGGACGCGGGUUCGAUUCCCGCCACCUCCACUG
rnacentral:tmRNA from 1 species